rnacentral:rRNA from 1 species
GACGAACACUAGCGGCGUGCCUAAUACAUGCAAGUCGAACGCAGUGGGGACGGGUGAGUAACACGUGGGUAACCUCCCAUCAGAGGGGAUAACACUUGGAAAAAGGUGCUAAACCGAUACUGAUGGAUGGACUCGCGGGGUAUUAGCUAGUUGGUGAGGUAACGGCUCACCAAGGCCACGAUGCAUAGCCGACCUGAGAGGGUGAUCGGCCACACUGGUACUGAGACCCGGCCCAGAAGCCUACGGGAGGUAGCAGUAGGUAAGCUGCGGCAAUGGACGAAAGUCUGACCGAGCGACGCCGCGUGAGUGAAGAAGGUUGUCGGAUCGUAAAGCUCUGUUGUUAGGGAAGCGGUAUCUAACCAGAAAGCCGCGGCUAACUACGUGCCAGCAGCCGCGGUAAUAC